GGACAGUUUAAGGAGAGCUUGCACACUCGACGCCAGGGUUCACGAAGCAACUGAAGCGCAGCGACUCAUCAGGCAGCCGCUGAGCUUUUCUUAUCAGAUCGAGUCAGGUGACCGAGUUCAAAGACUGAACCCAACUAACUAACUGAGGAGCGGCGCGUACACUAUGGGAGCGGCCUGAUGAAGGUCGGCGAAAAUCACAUGGUACAGCGGACGAAUAUCAAAACAAGCUAUAUAGCUUUCUGUGAAUCAGUCGAAAAAGGAUGCGGCAUCAAGAGACCGGGAUCACUUCAAUCUAUUCCGUCUGUAAUGGAGAAUUAGAUUAUCGAGAGGACGAUUCUGUUCUCCACUUACCCGAAGCGAAAAUGACCAUGCAAGUGGUUUAAGAUGGAUUCUUGGAAUCCACCAGCUGCCGCACGUAACAGAUAUCACGCAAUCCGAAUUAUUUGUAAAAAUUGAGGAGGGAUUUUUUUAUUUGUGAUUGCCCGAAUACCUUGACGGGUAUCACUCACGAACAAAGUAAUUGUUUUUUUGU